AUUGAACGCUGGCGGCAGGCCUAACACAUGCAAGUCGAACGAGUGGCGGACGGGUGAGUAAUGUCUGGGAAACUGCCUGAUGGAGGGGGAUACUUCCUGGAAACGUAAGUUAUUCCCGCUUACCUUCAGUUGUGCCCAGAUGGGUGUAGUUUGUGGGUGGGGUACCGGCUCACCAAGCCGACGAUCCCUAGCUGGUCUGAGAGGAUGACCAGCCACACUGGAACUGAGACACGGUCCAGACUCCUACGUGAGGCAGCAGUGGGGAAUAUUGCACAAUGGGCGCAAGCCUGAUGCAGCCAUGCCGCGUGUAUGAAGAAGGCCUUCGGGUUGUAAAGUACUUUCAGCGGGGAGGCGUUACCCGCAGAAGAAGCACCGGCUAACUCCGUGCCAGCAGCCGCGGUAAUAC
rnacentral:rRNA from 1 species